AGGGCAAGUGCGUGGUCAUGUGAAUGCCCUCCCGUGUCCCCUGCCACCUCACCUCCCCUCUUCCCCGUGAAACCCGCCGCCGUCAGGGCAGCUCAAGGGCAACCCACAUGUUAACUAUCGCAUUUUGACCGAGACGUGCCCUAUUGUCCUUCAGAGGGCAUUCCGCACACCGACAAUAAGCCCCCCUCCGGAACCAGGGAAUCCGCCAGACGGUUCAACGAAAACCCGCGUGCCCGGCGUGGCAGGGGGCUGAGAGCGCCCGCAGCCUCUGUGGCCUCGUGUGUGUGCCGCCAGGAGUGGAGCGAGGGAGGGAGGGACUGCCCCUGCAUGUGUGUCCAAGCAUGUUCACCUGGGGCUGCGGGUCCACCACAGACCAGCCUUUCCUCUGCUCAGCAGCCGGUGCCGUCCUGGGGGAGGGGGCGGGAGAGGAGGGGAGAAGCCAGGCCAAAGUUGCUUUCUUCAUGGUUCUUUAACUGGACUGAAACCUCAUGCCUCCCCCAGAUGCUCACGCCCGCUGACCUGUGAGCCCCGAGGGGUGCCCCCACCUCCCUGGGCCGCAGGGGGAGGCUCCGGUUCAGCCUUCCAGAGGAUUUCUGUUCACGUGCAGUGCGGGCCCAGGAUGCCUGCCCGGGAGAGCGCUGUGGGGUUUGAGCGUGGACACCGCGACGUACGAACCCCACGGCACUGCUACCCUCGGAGGGUUUCACAUGCGAAGUUUCCUUCCUUUAACCCAGGAGGGGGGCACCCCUGCCAGCCUCAGAGUUUAAACACAAGCGACUCACUUCGCUGUGGUAGGCGUCCUGUCCGCCCGUGGCUGUCUCUGUAGGUGACGGCCGGGGAGGCCAGCGCACAUGGCCUUCUAGGUGGCCCAUCGGGAGUGCACACCUCGCCCCUCACGGAUGUACUUGGGACGGAGAUGCCCCUCAGUACACUGCGUUCCUGGGAAACGCCUCCGAGGAGCACACGUCUCCCGGUCCCAUCAGAAACGCCUCCGAGGAGCAGUGCAGGCAGGGCCCCCUCUCUCUCCUCAUGAUCUGCGUGCGCCCUAGUCCUUCAGCCCGAUCGUGGCCGUGCUGGCCCCUGCCCGGCGGGUGCACGGGGCGGGCGGUGGGGCCGAGGCUGCCGGUCUAGCUCUCUGCCGUCGGAGUCUGGUUUGGCUCUGCUUCCUGAAAAGCCCCACUGAUGGAGCCCAGUGCUCCCGUUGGCUCCCAUCAGCAUAGCCCAGCCCCUGACUCAGUCUCCUCUCAGCAGUCCUCCCGCCGCCCGCCUGGCAGCAGACGUGGCCCCCGCAGCCUGCUGUGGGCAGCAGCGGGCAGAGGUGUCCCGUGUGGGGCGACUGCACCCUCUGGCUCCUCUCCCUGCACCUGCCCCCGGAGCAGGCCUACCUGCAGCACUGGCGCCCCCCCUCCUGCUCUCACCAGACCCUAAGUCAGCCUUCCUGGGGGAUUUCCUCCCGUGGUCUCACCCCCUGUUCUAAUGACUCCCCACCCCCCCUACCCGCCCCGGGGACGGGUCAGUGAGUGUGAGGUGCUCUGAGAACCCAUGGCGCUGACCUCCCACCUGAGCAGGGAGGGUGUGGGAGGGCCUGGGCGGCAGCAGGGCCCAGAGCUGGCCAGGCCUCUUCGUGUCAUCAGGGAUGCCCUCCUGCGGGCUGUCCGGCUCUGGGGCUGUCCCACCGCCGUCACAGGGAGAGCUACUUGGUGGGUUUUUAGGACAGUUGUCUUUCAACCUGUGUCUACCUGUUUUCUGUUUCUAUUCUCAGAGAAAUGCUAUCCAUUUUUAAUGUGGCUCUGGGUCAGGUGGCCAAAGAAGCAGCACUUCCUGGCCAGAAGGGGCCUCGAGGCCUGGGCGGGCUCUGUGCUGGCACGAGCCGGUGUCGCCACGCGGGCCUGCCCCAGCUUCCCGGCGAGCGCCCCUGUCAGCGUCCUCUCCUGCUGACCGUGGGCUUGCUGUUGCCUCCCAGGCCGGGCCGUGGGUUUAGGUGUUCAGGCUUCAUCUCUGUGGGGGACACACGCUGGUUGGAAACCUGGUCUUGUUCCCAGGAAGCCCGCGGGGCCUCAGCCGUGGUCUGUGCUCCGAGGUCCCUGCGGGCGCAGGGAACUGACAGGAGCGCUGCUGCGGCCACCGGCCUCUCAGGGCCCCGUGACUCAGGCUGAGGAGUCACCUCCGUGAGGCCAGGCGGUGUCAGCAACGGCGGGCGGUGGGUUCCGGAGGGUGCGGCCUCCAUUGCACACAGGCAGGAGUGUAGGCCAGACAGUGAGCCAACAGCUCCGGAUGGCGCUCGGCUGCGCUCUGGAAAGAAGCAUGGGCUCCAUGCUUUCCCUCCAUCCCGCCGGCCCUCCCUCCAUCCAGUGACAAGCCAUGGGCGUGCCCUGGGCAUGCAUGCAAUACAGCAAGACCAACCAGAGCAAUAUUGAAUUGUUCAUCAGAUCAAAAUUAUAUAUAUAUAUAUAAACACAUAUACUUUAUCUUCCUGCAUUUUUGAAAUAUAAAGUAGUGCAUUGUACAUAUCCAUAAGCUAGUAUAUUUGUUUCACGGUUUGUAAUGUUUCAGAAUUGCUCAUUCUUUGUAGAACAAACAAUAUAUUAAAUAUUUUAAAAGUUGCUUUGUGAUAAUUUUUUUCAAAAUUUGUAAUGUGUGGCUAUUACAUAAGCUAUCUGGAAAUACCCACAACUCACGGGACACGUAGGCUCUCGAAGCUCCACCCGGGAACGCAGUGCCCACAGAGCACUGUGGGCAGAGCACUGGUAGAGCAUGACUUUUAUACCUGGGGGAUGUCUAUGUGUUUAUUUAUAUUUAAGGUGUAUUUAUUGUUCCAGUUCCAUUAUCCGUCAUAUUUUAAUUACUCUUCAAUUAUAAAAAUCACCCUUGCAUUCAGAUUUCCAGCUGCCAGUGAUGUUCUGAAAAUAAUGAAACAUUAAAAUAAAGCUUUCGUUCUGACACCCUG